AUACGUAGGGUGCAAGCGUUGAUCGGAAUUACUGGGCGUAAAGCGCGCGUAGGUGGCUAAUUAAGUCAAAUGUGAAAUCCCCGAGCUUAACUUGGGAAUUGCAUUCGAUACUGGUUAGCUAGAGUAUGGGAGAGGAUGGUAGAAUUCCAGGUGUAGCGGUGAAAUGCGUAGAGAUCUGGAGGAAUACCGAUGGCGAAGGCAGCCAUCUGGCCUAAUACUGACACUGAGGUGCGAAAGCAUGGGGAGCAAACAGGAUUAGAUACCCUGGUAGUCCAUGCCGUAAACGAUGUCUACUAGCCGUUGGGGCCCUUGAGGCUUUAGUGGCGCAGCUAACGCGAUAAGUAGACCGCCUGGGGAGUACGGUCGCAAGACUAAAACUCAAAUGAAUUGGCGGGG
rnacentral:rRNA from 1 species